rnacentral:rRNA from 1 species
AGGGAACGCUGGCGGUAGGCCUAACACAUGCAAGUCGAACGGCAGCACAGUAAGAGCUUGCUCUUACGGGUGGCGAGUGGCGGACGGGUGAGGAAUACAGCGGAAUCUACUUUUUCGUGGGGGAUAACGUAGGGAAACUUACGCUAAUACCGCAUACGACCUACGGGUGUAAGCAGGUGAUCUUCGGACCUUGCGCGAUUGAAUGAGCCGAUGUCGGAUUAGCUAGUUGGCGGGGUAAAGGCCCACCAAGGCGACGAUCCGUAGCUGGUCUGAGAGGAUGAUCAGCCAGCCUGGAACUGAGACACGGUCCAGCACAGUUCGGGAGGCAGAAGCGGCGCAUCUUGGACCAUGGGCGACCGCCUGAUACAGCCAUACCCCGUGGGUGAAGCAGGCCUUCGGGUUGUAAAGCCUUUCUGUUGGGAAAGACAAGCAGCCGGUUAAUACCCAGCUGUUCUGCCGGUACCCAACGAAUAAGCACCGGCUAACUUAGUG